UCAAAUUCUUUUCAGUUAUAAAUAUAUGAUCAUAAGAAGCCCAGAGAGGAUUCCCAGAGCUUGGAAUAAGAGAAGUAUAAUGUAAUGAAAAAGAGCACUGAAUUUGGAAUCAGGAGGCAUAGGUUGAAACCUUGUCUCCAGCUACACAUUUCCUGACAGAGAUUUAUGGGUUUGUGGACUAUUUUAUCAGAUGACACACUCACCACCCUCCUCUACCACAUUCCCCUACAGGAGAAUUCCCUCCAUCCCUAACUUACUUAGAUCAAACAGAAUUCUAACCUUUCUUCCACUUGACAACCUUCCCCAUACCUGAAGAUAGCCAGGAUGAUCAGCCAUUAUGGCCCUCUGAGUCUUCUCCUACCAAGAUGAGCAUCUUCAACUGCUCCUUAUAUGACAUACACUCAAGACCUUUCAACAACCUCAGCACUCUCUUAUGGAUGCUUUCCAGAUUAUCAGUGCCCAUGUUAACUGAUGGCAUCCCAAGCUAAACAGAGUACUCCAGACAAGGUCUGACAGGCACCAUGAGAGUCAGGCUGAGUUGAGAGGAAGCCAGGACCAAGAUAACACAAGGUAAUUAUGUGAAAAUGAGUCUCUGAUUUCAAACCAAAAAUCUUUCAUGAUUAUCAGUGAGAAGAUCCUGAAUUCAAAUCCCACUUUAGACACUAACUCUAUAAACUUGGACAAGUCACUGGUCUUCUCUGCACCUCAAUUUCCUCCUAUAUGAAAUGAGGAAGGUGGACUUGCUGGCAUCACCCUUCAAAUGUACUACACAGUGUUAUCUCCUAAAUUAAA